UACGAAGGGUGCAAACGUUGCUCGGAAUCACUGGGCGUAAAGCGCACGUAGGCGGAUUGUUAAGUCGGGGGUGAAAUCCUGGAGCUCAACUCCAGAACUGCCUUCGAUACUGGCGAUCUUGAGUCCGGGAGAGGUGAGUGGAACUCCGAGUGUAGAGGUGAAAUUCGUAGAUAUUCGGAAGAACACCAGUGGCGAAGGCGGCUCACUGGCCCGGUACUGACGCUGAGGUGCGAAAGCGUGGGGAGCAAACAGG
rnacentral:rRNA from 1 species